AUUUGAGUCCACGAUGCACCUUGUAACGGUAAUUCAAGGUACACCGUGAACUCAAAU
ncrna:Panagrellus redivivus microRNA prd-mir-7883a precursor